CAGUCCCACAGCAGAGCACUGGCUGGAGGAGGAGUUCUCACAGCUGUGACAUUCCCUGAUCUGCAGCAGGGAGCCUGCCCGCCCCCAGAGCGGGGCUGGAGCUAGGGCUCUCAGAGCUGGCUAGGCUCCUAGCUCAGCCAAGCUCUCUGCUGCGGUGCGGUAGCCUAGAAACCCUGAGUGCCCUGGCUCAAGCAGGGGCUCAAAGCUGCCAGAUUCCUUUCCAUGGAGCUGGGAGCCUAGCUCCCAGGGUCUGUGGCCCCAAGGCAGUCCCACCACCAGCCAGGGAACCCAGGGCUUCCAGACUCUCUGACUGGUAACUGAGUGGUUGGUUAAUCAGUCAGCUGGCUGGCUAGCAGGGAUUUCAGCACAGGAAGAGUCUGCCUGGAUUCCAGCUGAAGAUUCCUACAAGCAAUGGAGGGAAGAUGUUGUUUGAGACUCAGCAGACUGUCUAGAUUUGGUGAUCAACGACUCUGAGACUUAGAUGAACAAAACCAAAGCUUUUGGGAACUUUCAGUUUCUUCUAGGGUGACCAGAUGUCCUGAUUUUAUAGGGACAGUCCCGAUAUUUGGGGCUUUUUCUUAUAUAGGCUCCUAUUACCCCCCACCUUCUGUCCCAAUUUUUCACACUUGCUGUCUGGUCACCCUAGUUUCUUCUCACUGUAUUUCUGUGGGGACUGAACUGUUCAGAUUUUAAUUAGUUUUCUUUAUGUGUAACUGUGAAGGUAAUGUCUGUGGAUUAUAAAAUAGCCAUGUCAUGCUGUAACAAUUAAAUGAUUAUUUGUCUCUGUCAUAAGAUUUUAUCAAGUUAUUUAAUUAAAUUCAUUUCUUUAGUUCCUUUUGGGACUUGAAUGUGG